UUGAGGUCUGCAACCCGACCUCAUGAAGCCGGAAUCGCUAGUAAUCGCGGAUCAGCCACGCCGCGGUGAAUACGUUCUCAAGCCUUGUACUCACAAAUAAAUGCGCCCGGCAGCGCAUAAUUCUCAGUGGUUAAAAUCCAUU
rnacentral:rRNA from 1 species